rnacentral:rRNA from 1 species
CCUACGGGGGGCAGCAGUGGGGAAUAUUGGACAAUGGGCGGAAGCCUGAUCCAGCAACGCCGCGUGAGGGAUGACGGCCUUCGGGUUGUAAACCUCUUUCAGUACCGACGAAGCGCAAGUGACGGUAGGUACAGAAGAAGCACCGGCCAACUACGUGCCAGCAGCCGCGGUAAUACGUAGGGUGCGAGCGUUGUCCGGAAUUAUUGGGCGUAAAGGGCUCGUAGGCGGUUUGUCGCGUCGGGAGUGAAAACGCCGUGCUUAACACGGCGCUUGCUUUCGAUACGGGCAGACUAGAGGUAUUCAGGGGAGAACGGAAUUCCUGGUGUAGCGGUGAAAUGCGCAGAUAUCAGGAGGAACACCGGUGGCGAAGGCGGUUCUCUGGGAAUGACCUGACGCUGAGGAGCGAAAGUGUGGGGAGCGAACAGGAUUAGA